rnacentral:rRNA from 1 species
UAAGGUAGCGAAAUUCCUUGUCGGGUAAGUUCCGACCUGCACGAAUGGUGCAACGAUCUGGACACUGUCUCAGCCAUGAGCUCGGUGAAAUUGUAGUAUCGGUGAAGAUGCCGAUUACCCGCAGCGGGACGAAAAGACCCCGUGAACCUUUACUAUAGCUUCGUAUUGACUUUGGAUAAGUAAUGUGUAGGAUAGGUGGGAGACUAUGAAAUGCAAUCGCUAGGUUGUGUGGAGUCGUUGUUGAAAUACCACCCUUUGCUUAUUUGAAGCCUAACUUCUUACAGAAGGACAGUGCGUGGUGGGUAGUUUGACUGGGGCGGUCGCCUCCCAAAUGGUAACGGAGGCGCGCGAAGGUGGGCUCAGAGCGGUCGGAAAUCGCUCGUUGAGUGCA